GUGUCAGCCGCCGCGGUAAUACGUAGGGUGCAAGCGUUGUCCGGAUUUAUUGGGCGUAAAGAGCUCGUAGGCGGCUUAGAAAGUCAGGUGUUAAACCUCCAGGCUCAACCUGGAGCCGCCACUUGAUACUUCUAUGGCUUGAGUUCGGUAGGGGUAAGCGGAAUUCCUGGUGUAGCGGUGAAAUGCGCAGAUAUCAGGAGGAACACCGAUGGCGAAGGCAGCUUACUGGGCCGAUACUGACGCUGAGGAGCGAAAGCGUGGGGAGCGAACAGGAUUAGAAACCCGUGUAGUCC
rnacentral:rRNA from 1 species